GAGUUUGAUCCUGGCUCAGGACGAACGCUGGCGGUGUGCUUAAUACAUGCAAGUCGAACGGCUCUUCGGAGCAGUGGCGGACGGCUGAGUAACACGUAGGUAACGUACCCUGUACUGGGGGAUAACAUCCCGAAAGGGAUGCUAAUACCGCAUAAGCUACGAGGUGAAACUCCUUGUAGUUAAAGAUUCAUCGGUAUAGGAUCGGCCUGCGUCUGAUUAGCUUGUUGGUAGGGUAACGGCCUACCAAGGCAAUGAUCAGUAGUUGGUCUGAGAGGAUGACCAGCCAGAGUGGGACUGAGACACGGCCCACACUUCUACGGAAGGCAGCAGUAGGGAAUUUUGCGCAAUGGGCGAAAGCCUGACGCAGCAACACCGCGUGUAGGAUGAAGGAUUUCGGUCUGUAAACUACUGUCAGCAGGGAAUAAUUUUGACUGUACCUGCAGAGGAAGCACCGGCUAACUACGUGCCAGCAGCCGCGGUAAGACGUAGGGUGCAAGCGUUGUCCGGAAUUAUUGGGCGUAAAGAGUUCGUAGGCGGUUUCUUAAGUCUGGCGUUAAAGCCCGGAGCUCAACUCCGGCAUGGCGUUGGAAACUGGGAGGCUA
rnacentral:rRNA from 1 species